GACAGAGGGGGCAAGCGUUGCUCGGAAUUACUGGGCGUAAAGGGCGCGUAGGCGGGUUGGCAAGUCGGUCGUGAAAUCCCUCGGCUCAACUGAGGAUCGUCGAUCGAUACUGCCGUUCUUGAGGAUUGCAGAGGAGACUGGAAUUCCCGGUGUAGCAGUGAAAUGUGUAGAGAUCGGGAGGAACACCGGUGGCGAAGGCGGGUCUCUGGGCAAUUCCUGACGCUGAGGCGCGAAGGCCAGGGGAGCAAACGGG
rnacentral:rRNA from 1 species